AAUCUCAAAGUCUGGUGGGUGGACUUUUAGCUUAGCUUAGCAUACAUAAUUGAAUCAGAUUAGACCAUUAGCAUCUUGCUCAAUUUUAUGGUAUAAUUUUCCAAUUUAAAUCUUAAAUCUUCUGUAGUAACUUUGUGUACUAAGACUGAUGGAAAAUGAAAAGUUGCUAUUUUCUAGGCCGAUAUAGCUAGGAACUUUACUCUUGUUCUAGUGUAAUAAUCAAGGAACUUUGCUGACAUAUCCCGCUGUAGCCGCUAAGACAUUACACGGUGUUGUUACCUAGCUGGGGACUAUUUUCAGGAGCUGCAUAUUAUAAUCACAGCAAAGCCCCCUGAUUAUUACACCAGAGUGAGUGUAUAGUUCCUAAACAUAUCAGCUACAUUAGAUGCUAAUGGUCCAAUCUGUUUCAAUGAUUUAUGCUAAGCUAAGCUAAAAGUGCUCCCGCCACACUUGAAGAUUGGCUGUAAUGAUAAAACUCGACUGUUUAGCUCCUGGUCUCUUGAAAAAGGACUCCGUUUAUAAAAAAGAAAAAGUGGAGCGCUCCUUUUUGAUCACCCUAAAGGAAAUGACUGAAUCAUUAUACAUGUUUUAAUUCUUAACCUUAAAAGCUCACUGGUUGAAUAAGAUACCAUUGGAGAAACUGUGAGGUUGUUAAUGAAAGUCAGAAUCAAGGGCACUGUGCACAUUAAUGACACUAAAUAAAUGAGAGUUGUCCAUCUUGUUGUCAUGAUUGACGAUUUUAAAUUCGUAGAUGGUCCAUAGCAGUACAAAACAGGUGAAAUAUAUCCAUCCAUUCUGCCUUAUUUGACCCAUAAUCAUAAACUCAGCCUAAAACACACUCCAAGAUAAAGUCGCUGAGCAAAAACACUACAGUAUCAUCUGCUCAAGGAUGCCCAGUACACUGACUUCCCGAGACAUACAGUUGAUGUCGGGACUCGGGUCGGGCCAUUAUCUCAACUUCAGUUGAACUUCUUUUAGUUUAUUCAUUGUGUUUUAUGUAUGUUUCAGGGUUUUAUUUUUUUAUUAUAAUAAUAAUAAUAUAUCAAAUAUAUAUGGAAUCUAUUCUAAAGCGGGUGUUGCAUGAAUGUAUGUUUAAAUGGGGAAAUUAUAUAUAAAUGAAUAAAAAAAGCAAAGAUUAUUAUGAAUGCUGAUUGCAGAUUAACAGACUUCAGUUCAACAAGAGUUUUUGGAUAUUUUUUAUUUCUUCUUUCUCCCUCCAUGACCUUUAUACCCUUGAUUUAGCCGGUCUUUGCUCUCUCAGUCUUGAUGCUGUAGCUCUAUUGCUGCAGCGCUGCCUUUUAUUCAAAACACUGAUCUGAGAACAGAGCGUAUAGGAGACUUCAGCGCAUUAUAUAUUCUUCUCAAACACCCAUUUCUUUAGCUCCUUAUCAUACUCCUACACUGAUUAUUAUGUUGCUAUUGUUGUUUUAAAUACGUUUUCUUCAUGUGCACUUAAAAUUAAAACUAUAUUUUGGGGGGGAAAAAACACAAAAAAACAAGGAAAAUGUGUGACAUUUGGAUGAAAACCAUUUUUUUCAUAUUCAUUUGUUGGUUUCAUCAUUGGCAUCGGAUGCUGUAAUGUUAGAAGAAUUUAAAAAUGACAAUGUAAAAUCCUGUAUCAUUUAUGAAAUGUGUAUAAAAGAGAAAUGUAAUUCAAUUAUCAAUAAAUACUUAUCCAAUUUUGGA
ensembl:lincRNA